rnacentral:rRNA from 1 species
UUUAUUGGAGAGUUUGAUCCUGGCUCAGGAUGAACGCUGGCGGCGUGCCUAAUACAUGCAAGUCGAGCGAAUGGAUUAAGAGCUUGCUCUUAUGAAGUUAGCGGCGGACGGGUGAGUAACACGUGGGUAACCUGCCCAUAAGACUGGGAUAACUCCGGGAAACCGGGGCUAAUACCGGAUAACAUUUUGAACUGCAUGGUUCGAAAUUGAAAGGCGGCUUCGGCUGUCACUUAUGGAUGGACCCGCGUCGCAUUAGCUAGUUGGUGAGGUAACGGCUCACCAAGGCAACAAUGCGUAGCCGACCUGAGAGGGUGAUCGGCCACACUGGGACUGAGACACGGCCCA